AUUUGUCCAUUAUAUAAAGAAAACGGGAUCCAUUCCCAAGAAUUAUGCAAAACCCCAGUAUGGUUUUGCACAGCACAGUGGUCAUGUUACGGAAGUAUACUCGGAACACAGAGAGAUGGGACCAGGAGAUCGGGAAGGAGCUGAAGACCAGGGGCACAGAGACGAUGGAGGACUAGGACAAGGAGAACACACUGGGGAGAUAAC